CAAGUAAACCGGGUGGCCGCUCGCCUGGGUAAUAUUUACCCUGACGGGAGGAAAGUCCGAGCUCCACCGGGCUGGAUGCUGGGUAACUCCCAGGGGGGGUGACCCCACGGAAAGUGCCACAGAAACAUACCGCCAGCGGCCGGCCGAGUGUCGGUGCGGGUAAGGGUGAAAUGGUGAGGUAAGAGCUCACCAGCGGCUGGGUGACCAGUCGGCUGGGCAAACCCCAUCCGGAGCAAGACCAAAUAGAGGGAGCUAAGGGUGCCCGGCCUAUUCCCCGGGUUGGUCGCUUGACCCUGAUGGUAACAUCGGGGCUAGAUAGAUGGUCACCACUCUGAUGAUUCAGAGUACAGAACUCGGCUUACAGGUUUACUUGACCC
rnacentral:RNase_P_RNA from 1 species